CUAUUUAAGCUGUAGGACUAGNUGAUCAAGAAGGUGGUUCACCCAGGGCGAGGCUCAACCAUUGCACUCCGGUUGUGCUGACCCCUGCGAAUUCCCCAAAUGUGGGAAUCUCGACUGCAUAAUUUCUGGUAGUGGGGGACUGCGUUCGCGCUCUCCCCUG
rnacentral:snRNA from 1 species